GCCUGAGCGGUGGCGCGUGCUUGUAGUCCUGGCUACUUAGGAGGCUGAGGCAGGAGGAUCGCUUGAGCCCAGGAGUGCUGGGCUGUAGUGCGCUAUGCCGACCGGGUGUCCGCACUAAGUUUGGCAUCAAUAUGAUGACCUCCCGGGAGCAGGGACCACCAGGUUGCCUAAGGAGGGGUGAACCGGCCCAGGUCAGAAAUGUAGCAGGUCAAAACUCCCGUGCUGAUCAAAGACCCCAAUUGCCAACAGAAGCUCCCUAGCAAAUAUUUAAGAGGUGGGGUGAUGUUCAGCA
rnacentral:SRP_RNA from 1 species